AUACUUACCUGGAAGGUGAGAUACCAUGAUCACUAAGGUGGUUCUCCCAGGGCAAUGUUCAUCAUUUGCACUCUGGGUGUGCUGACUUCUGCAAUUUCCCCUAAUGCAGGAAACUCACUGCAUAAUUUGCACUAGUGGGGGACUGCAUUUGUGCUCCCCCCUG